ACGACCUUACUUGAACAGGAUCUGUUCUAUAGGUUAUACCUUUGUAUCCUUGAUUUCUAAGGAGACAGGAACCCCAGUCUGGUGGAUGAACCAUGACCGUGCAAUUAAAGCGUGAUUAACAGCUUUGUGAUCCUUGGAUCAUUUAAGCAGUAGAUGAUCGUUCUCAACCGUUGUAACAACCGACUGGGGUGGUCACACGGUUGUCUGACAAUUU